CAAAAAAAACAAUUGAAGCGGAGUUUGCCCGUCACCGGAUUUGAUAGCGCGGAUAAGCGGCUAUAGCAACCAAUGGGCGCCUAAUGCCAAUGCGCGCUGCGUUAUGUAAAGCGAGACGCAGGCAUGGCCAGUGAGAGCAUGGAGGCGGCUGCGUGUUAAAGAGAGGAGAGAGCGAGCGAGCAAGCGAGGUAGCGAGCUAGCGAAGAGGAACACGGACGAGAGGCAGGAGAGACACAACAAGAGCGGGACUACGCAAGCAGCCCCGUUGUUGGUGUCCGUGCGGGGCGGCACUCGAGGAAUACCCCCCCCGGUGCUGAGAGGAUCAGGAAGGGCCGUGGAGGACUGAAAGAUUGUGACGAAUCGCAGAACAUUGUGGAGGAUCAAGAAGGUUCGUGGUGGAUCGUGGAGAAGGUUCGUGGUGGAUCGUGGAGGAUAGUGGAGGCUCGUGAAGGAUUGUGAAGGUUUGUCGAGGAUUGUGAAGAACUGUGAAGGUUC